CCAUCCCCGCACGGAACGGCUCCUUCGAAAGCUCGAGUUUUUAACCCCUUUUCCGCUUUAUUAUCUCCGAAAGCCCGCGCUAAAUACUUCUUCACGAUUCUCCCCAAUCCCCAUCCGGCCAUCUCACCCCCCUCUACGGCGCGGGCACUGUUCGUCCGUCGGUGGAGGAAGAAGGGGAGUGCGAGCCGAACUGUAAAAGCCGCCGGGUGGGGGAACCCGCACUCCGCCGCCUCUGAAAAAUCGCAGAAACCCACAGCCUGAAAAACCCCCGGCCAAAGCCUCAGAUUUCGCAGCCGCCGCCGAAGCUGGCGUUCGCGUAGGAGGCUGCGCCCUCUGUCCUGGAUCCACCCGGGUAAGCCAUGGCUGUGAAGGCGAGCUCCGUCGACAAUAGGACCAGGAGCACGGUGUCCCUAUGCAUAGUCAUUGGCAUAUGCUGCUUCUUCUACAUCCUCGGAGCAUGGCAGAAGAGCGGGUUUGGCAAGGGGGACAGCAUCGCGCUGGAGAUCACAAAGCGCACGGACUGCACCGUCUUGCCGAACCUCAGCUUCGACACACACCAUUCUAAAUCUGGCAGCAGCUCCAGUGAUCUUGUUUCGCCGGUGAAGAAGUUCAAGCCAUGCCCUGAUCGAUACACGGAUUAUACCCCUUGUCAAGAUCAGAACAGGGCGAUGAAGUUCCCUCGGGAGAACAUGAACUACAGGGAGAGGCACUGCCCGCCACAGAAGGAAAAGCUGCACUGUUUGAUACCACCGCCCAAGGGAUAUGUGGCUCCGUUCCCAUGGCCGAAGAGUCGGGACUAUGUUCCUUUCGCAAAUUGCCCAUAUAAGAGCUUGACAGUCGAGAAAGCCAUCCAGAACUGGGUUCAAUAUGAGGGCAAUGUGUUCAGAUUCCCUGGUGGAGGGACACAAUUUCCUCAAGGAGCAGAUAAGUACAUUGAUCAGCUGGCAUCAGUCAUUCCAAUCGCCAAUGGAACUGUCAGGACUGCACUUGACACUGGUUGCGGGGUAGCCAGUUGGGGAGCAUAUUUGUUGAAGAGGAAUGUCUUGGCCAUGUCAUUUGCACCAAGAGAUUCGCAUGAGGCACAAGUGCAGUUUGCCCUGGAGAGAGGUGUCCCUGCUGUUAUUGGUGUUCUUGGUACAAUAAAACUUCCUUAUCCAUCGAGGGCCUUUGACAUGGCACAUUGUUCCAGGUGUUUGAUUCCAUGGGGAGCAAAUGAUGGAAUGUACAUGAUGGAAGUUGAUAGGGUUCUAAGGCCUGGUGGCUACUGGGUUCUGUCUGGUCCUCCAAUUAAUUGGAACGUGAAUUAUAAGGGUUGGCAGCGCACAAAGAAGGAUCUUGAAGCAGAGCAGAACAGAAUAGAGGAAAUUGCUAACCUUCUAUGUUGGGAAAAAGUCUCAGAGAAGGGUGAGAUGGCAAUAUGGAGGAAAAGGGUAAACACUGAGUCUUGUCCUUCUAGGCAAGACGAAUCCACUGUGCAGAUGUGUGAAUCAACAAACCCAGAUGAUGUCUGGUACAAGAAGAUGAAGGCCUGUGUGACACCCCUUCCAGAUGUAAAAGAUGAUACUGAAUUAGCUGGAGGAGCAAUCAAGCCCUUCCCAGGCAGGCUUCAUGCAGUUCCUCCAAGAAUUGCUAAUGGUUUUAUUCCAGGGGUUUCAUCUGAGGCCUUUCAAAAAGACAAUAAAAUGUGGAAGAAGCAUGUGAAGGAUUAUAGCACUGUGAACAAAUAUUUACUUACUGGUAGAUACAGAAAUAUAAUGGACAUGAAUGCAGGCUUUGGGGGAUUCGCUGCUGCGAUAGAGUCCCCGAAAUCUUGGGUGAUGAAUGUUGUGCCAACCAUUGCGAAGAUGCCUACCCUGGGGGCUGUGUAUGAGCGAGGAUUGAUCGGCAUAUACCAUGACUGGUGUGAGGCUUUCUCUACUUAUCCAAGGACAUAUGAUCUUAUCCAUGCUAGUGGUCUUUUCACCUUGUACAAGAACAAGUGCAGCAUGGAAGACAUUCUCUUGGAAAUGGACCGCAUCUUGAGGCCAGAAGGUGCCGUCAUAAUGCGGGACGAUGUCGAUGUUUUGAUUAAGGUGAAUAGCCUUGCUCAGGGCAUGAGGUGGAACACAAAGAUGGUCGAUCACGAGGAUGGCCCCCUCAUGCGCGAGAAGAUCCUGUAUGCUGUAAAGCAGUAUUGGGUUGGUGGAAAUCAGACGGCUGUAGCUUGAAGCAAGGACGUUUCCAAGCUUCUAACACGAGAAAAUCUGCAAUCCAACCUUACCUGACGAGCAAUUAGCAUAGGGAGUCACCCUGUGGAAGGGAAGUGGCCCACUGUAGGGGUAGGCACUGAAGCAGCAAAGCUUUUUUUGUAAUCGGUGGCAUGCAGAUCAAGGAGCACGUGUAUUUUGGAAAAGCCCAGAUCCAUGUAUGCCCUCCUGAAUGAUUCUGAAGAAACAAGGGCUGCUUAAUGUUGCAACACCCUGGGGCCAAACACGAAAGAGCAGCGGAGCCAAUCUUG